rnacentral:rRNA from 1 species
CCUACGGGAGGCAGCAGUAGGGAAUAUUGCUCAAUGGGGGAAACCCUGACGCAGCAACGCCGCGUGGAGGAUGAAGGUUUUCGGAUUGUAAACUCCUUUUGUUAGAGACGAUAAUGACGGUAUCUAACGAAUAAGCACCGGCUAACUCCGUGCCAGCAGCCGCGGUAAUACGGCGGGUGCAAGCGUUACUCGGAAUCACUGGUCGUAAAGAGCGCGUAGGCGGGAUAGCAAGUCAGAUGUGAAAUCCUAGGGCUUAACCAUAGAACUGCAUUUGAAACUGUUAUUCUAGAGUAUGGGAGAGGUAGGUGGAAUUCUUGGUGUAGGGGUAAAAUCCGUAGAGAUCAAGAGGAAUACUCAUUGCGAAGGCGACCUGCUAGAACAUAACUGACGCUGAUGCGCGAAAGCGUGGGGAGCAAACAGGAUUAGAUACCCUGGUAGUC